CAAUAGCGUAUAUUAAAGUUGUUGCAGUUAAAAAGCUCGUAGUUGGAUUUCGGGGCAGCCUGGCUGGUCCGCCGCAAGGCGAGUACUGGUCAGCCGCCCUUCCUCUCGAAAGCCCCGACUGCUCUUUAUUGCAGUGGUCGGGUAGUUCGGGACGUUUACUUUGAAAAAUUAGAGUGUUCAAGGCAGGCCUACGCCUGAAUACAUUAGCAUGGAAUAAUGGAAGAGGACCUCGGUCCUAUUUUGUUGGUUUCCAGGACCGAAGUAAUGAUUAAGAGGGACAGUUGGGGGCAUUCGUAUUUAAUUGUCAGAGGUGAAAUUCUCGGAUUUAUGAAAGACGAACAACUGCGAAAGCAUUUGCCAAGGAUGUUUUCAUUAA
rnacentral:rRNA from 1 species